rnacentral:rRNA from 1 species
CCUACGGGUGGCAGCAGUGAGGAAUAUUGGUCAAUGGGCGCGAGCCUGAACCAGCCAAGUCGCGUGAGGGAAGACGGUCCUAUGGAUUGUAAACCUCUUUUGUCGGGGAGCAAAAGACGCCACGCGUGGCGUUCCGAGAGUACCCGAAGAAAAAGCAUCGGCUAACUCCGUGCCAGCAGCCGCGGUAAUCCGGAGGAUGCGAGCGUUAUCCGGAUUUAUUGGGUUUAAAGGGUGCGCAGGCGGAAGAUCAAGUCAGCGGUAAAAUUGAGAGGCUCAACCUCUUCGAGCCGUUGAAACUGGUGUUCUUGAGUGAGUGAGAAGGAUGCGGAAGGCGUGGUGUAGCGGUGAAAUGCAUAGAUAUCACGCAGAACUCCGAUUGCGAAGGCAGCAUACCGGCGCUCAACUGACGCUCAUGCACGAAAGUGUGGGUAUCGAACAGGAUUAGAUACCCUGGUAGUC